rnacentral:rRNA from 1 species
GGCCUACCAUGGUGGUAACGGGUAACGGGGUGUUAGGGCACGACACCGGAGAGGGAGCCUGAGAAACGGCUACCACAUCCAAGGAUGGCAGCAGGCGCGCAAAUUACCCAAUCCCGACACGGGGAGGUAGUGACAAUAAAUAACAAUACGGGGUUCUUUCGGAUCUCGUAAUUGGAAUGAGUACAAUUUAAAUCUCUUAACGAGGAACAAUUGGAGGGCAAGUCUGGUGCCAGCAGCCGCGGUAAUUCCAGCUCCAAUAGCGUAUAUUAAAGUUGUUGCAGUUAAAAAGCUCGUAGUUGAAUUUCGGGGUUAGUAGGCUGGUCAUGCCACCGGUAUGUACUGGUCUUACUGAUUCCUCCUUCCUGAUGAACUGUAAUGCCAUUAAUUUGGUGUUGCAGGGAAUCUGGACUGUUACUUUGAAAAAAUUAGAGUGUUUAAAGCAGGCAUUCGCUUGAAUACAUUAGCAUGGAAUAAUAGAAUAGGACUUUGGUUCUAUUUUGUUGGUUUCUAGGACCGAAGUAAUGAUUAAUAGGGAUAGUUGGGGGCAUUAGUAUUUAAUUGUCAGAGGUGAAAUUCUUGGAUUUAUUAAAGACUAACUUCUGCGAAAGCAUUUGCCAAGGAUGUUUUCAUUAAUCAAGAACGAAAGUUAGAGGUUCGAAGGCGAUCAGAUACCGCCCUAGUUCUAACCGUAAACGAUGACAACCAGCGAUUAAUCGGCGUUAAUAUAUGACCCGAUUAGCAGCUUCCG